UGGGGAAUAUUGGGCAAUGGGCGCAAGCCUGACCCAGCAACGCCGCGUGAAGGAAGAAGGCCCUCGGGUUGUAAACUUCUUUUAUCAGGGACGAAACAAAUGACGGUACCUGAUGAAUAAGCCACGGCUAACUACGUGCCAGCAGCCGCGGUAAUACGUAGGUGGCAAGCGUUAUCCGGAUUUACUGGGUGUAAAGGGCGUGUAGGCGGGAGAGCAAGUCAGACGUGAAAUUCCAGGGCUCAACCCUGGAACUGCGUUUGAAACUGUUCUUCUUGAGUGAUGGAGAGGCAGGCGGAAUUCCGU
rnacentral:rRNA from 1 species